GGGGGCAGGGAGGAUUAAAAAAAUGGAAGAUUAAAUGAGAGUAAAUGAUAGCUUGAGAGGAGAUUAUGCCCUGCUAGAGAUGCGUAGCUACAAACUAGUUUCAUAUACUUGCCAUGUUUAGUCUAUACUUUCAAAUAAUCUCAAGAAAUGAGUUUACUUAUUUUCAAAAUUGAACUAACACUAUCUAAUACACCUCACAUUUUCUUCACUUUGUGACUCUAUGUGAGUUACUGGAGUAAUGAGAAUAUAACUGUAUAAUCUGCAGUCCUCCUUGAUCAUGGACUCCAUCCCCAUCCAAUCAGUUUUCAGCUCUCGCUCUAGAACUUGCCUAGUUUUGGUCAUCAUUUCAUUUUCAUGGUACAGCAGACAGAAAUACAUAUAACCUAUUUUGUGCAGUUGUACCUUAUCAUUAUUUAAAAUAAGAAUUAUGGCUUUGGUUAUCUCCAAAACCUUAUUCAAUCUUGUUCAACAUUAUACUGCACUUUUACUGAAAAAGCAGGCUUUCUUUCAGACCAUUUAAUCAAAAAAGCUCAUUUUUUACCUGACUCAUAUAACCCUAUUUAACCUUUUUAAUCUAUUCUCAAAAAUCUUGUUGUCCAUUUCCAUCAGCACAAUUCAACAAUACCUGCAUACUUUGAGACUUUAUUAUGUCAAAAUUAUUUAUAAAAACAAUAAUAUCGGCUCUA
rnacentral:lncRNA from 1 species